rnacentral:rRNA from 1 species
CCUACGGGAGGCAGCAGUGAGGAAUAUUGGUCAAUGGACGAGAGUCUGAACCAGCCAAGUAGCGUGAAGGAUGACUGCCCUAUGGGUUGUAAACUUCUUUUAUAUGGGAAUAAAAUGUUCCACGUGUGGGAUAAUGUAUGUACCAUAAGAAUAAGGAUCGGCUAACUCCGUGCCAGCAGCCGCGGUAAUACGGAGGAUCCGAGCGUUAUCCGGAUUUAUUGGGUUUAAAGGGAGCGUAGGUGGAUUGGUAAGUCUGUUGUGAAAGUUGGGGGCUCAACCGUAAGAUUGCAGUUGAAACUGGCAGUCUUGAGUGCAGUAGAGGUAGGCGGAAUUCGUGGUGUAGCGGUGAAAUGCUUAGAUAUCACGAAGAACUCCGAUUGCGAAGGCAGCUUACUGGACUGCAACUGACGCUGAGGCUCGAAAGUGUGGGUAUCAAACAGGAUUAGAUACCCCAGUAGUC